GCUCAGGAUGAACGCUGGCGGCGUGCUUAACACAUGCAAGUCGAACGAUGAAGGGAGCUUGCUCCUGGAUUAGUGGCGAACGGGUGAGUAACACGUGAGUAACCUGCCCUUAACUCUGGGAUAAGCCUGGGAAACUGGGUCUAAUACCGGAUAUGACUCCUCAUCGCAUGGUGGGGGGUGGAAAGCUUUUUGUGGUUUUGGAUGGACUCGCGGCCUAUCAGCUUGUUGGUGAGGUAAUGGCUUACCAAGGCGACGACGGGUAGCCGGCCUGAGAGGGUGACCGGCCACACUGGGACUGAGACACGGCCCAGACUCCUACGGGAGGCAGCAGUGGGGAAUAUUGCACAAUGGGCGCAAGCCUGAUGCAGCGACGCCGCGUGAGGGAUGACGGCCUUCGGGUUGUAAACCUCUUUCAGUAGGGAAGAAGCGAAAGUGACGGUACCUGCAGAAGAAGCGCCGGCUAACUACGUGCCAGCAGCCGCGGUAAUACGUAGGGCGCAAGCGUUAUCCGGAAUUAUUGGGCGUAAAGAGCUCGUAGGCGGUUUGUCGCGUCUGCCGUGAAAGUCCGGGGCUCAACUCCGGAUCUGCGGUGGGUACGGGCAGACUAGAGUGAUGUAGGGGAGACUGGAAUUCCUGGUGUAGCGGUGAAAUGCGCAGAUAUCAGGAGGAACACCGAUGGCGAAGGCAGGUCUCUGGGCAUUAACUGACGCUGAGGAGCGAAAGCAUGGGGAGCGAACAGGAUUAGAUACCCUGGUAGUCCAUGCCGUAAACGUUGGGCACUAGGUGUGGGGGACAUUCCACGUUUUCCGCGCCGUAGCUAACGCAUUAAGUGCCCCGCCUGGGGAGUACGGCCGCAAGGCUAAAACUCAAAGGAAUUGACGGGGGCCCGCACAAGCGGCGGAGCAUGCGGAUUAAUUCGAUGCAACGCGAAGAACCUUACCAAGGCUUGACAUGAACCGGAAAUACCUGGAGACAGGUGCCCCGCUUGCGGUCGGUUUACAGGUGGUGCAUGGUUGUCGUCAGCUCGUGUCGUGAGAUGUUGGGUUAAGUCCCGCAACGAGCGCAACCCUCGUUCUAUGUUGCCAGCACGUGAUGGUGGGGACUCAUAGGAGACUGCCGGGG
rnacentral:rRNA from 1 species